rnacentral:tRNA from 1 species
ACCUGGCUGACUCAGUUGGUGGAGCAUGUGACUCUUGAUCUCAGGGUGGUGAGUUCAAGCCCCAUGUUGGGUG